UCUCUGGUGGUCUAGAGGUUAAUGACUUGGCAUUGUCACUGCUGUGGCUCAGGUUUGAUCCCUGACCUGUAAA
rnacentral:tRNA from 1 species